rnacentral:rRNA from 1 species
UACGGGGGGGAGCAAGCGUUGUUCGGAUUUACUGGGCGUAAAGGGCGUGUAGGCGGCCACCGCAAGUCGGUUGUGAAAUCUCCCGGGCUUAACCCGGAAAGGUCAACCGAUACUGCGGGGCUAGAGUGCAGAAGGGGCAACUGGAAUUCUCGGUGUAGCGGUGAAAUGCGUAGAUAUCGAGAGGAACACCUGCGGCGAAGGCGGGUUGCUGGGCUGACACUGACGCUGAAACGCGAAAGCUAGGGGAGCGAACGGGG